AUGUCGCCGUCGAGUUCGCCGGAGGAGGAAGUGCCGAGUUCGCCGGAGGAACAAGACCAUCUGUCCAACUGUCCAAUUUCGCAUGCCUCGGCUACACCAGAGGUGGCAAAGGCGUCCAAUCCAACUCAGGUGGAGGCCAAGGAGGUUCGGCUCUCGGACCUUGCACCGACGAUGCUGGAUGAUACCGACAUGGAGACUACUUGUGAUCACAGGACUGCUAGCUUAAAUUCUUCAUUGAGACCAGGACUAUACACAGCAGCCAAUGAAGGCUUCUUUGAAUUUGAUCUUGAAAAGGAAAAGAAGAUAUCUCUAAGAACUCUGAUUGAUCCAUCAGCGGUGGAGAGCUUCGACAGUGGCAGGGUCUGCAUCAUGGCCAGAGCUUCUACCGUAGCGGUUGUCGACAGCGGGGCCCACAUGUAUGCCUUCAACAACGGCAGUACCACGAUAUGGUGCAGCCUUGGAGCAGUCGUGCUCUAUUAUAGAGCUGCUGUUGGAGACCACAUUUGCUCGUGCCUAAAAUACCAGUUCUCGUGUCCAAACUUUUUACUCCAUCAACUUUUGGCGUCUUAA
rnacentral:rRNA from 1 species